AAUUGCAAAAUUGCAACAUAGAAAUCUUGUUAGACUCGUAGGAUGCUGCCUGGAAAAAAGUGAGAAGUUUCUCGUCUAUGAGUACAUGCCCAACAAAAGCCUUGAUUUCUUUCUCUUUGAUUCAAGCAAGCGUAUGCAACUUGAUUGGCAAAGACGGCUUAGCAUUAUCAAUGGAAUUGCUCGUGGCCUAUUAUAUCUGCAUGAAGAUUCUCGUCUCAGAGUUAUUCACAGAGACCUCAAGGCUGGUAAUAUAUUGCUUGACAGCGAGAUGAACCCAAAGAUAUCUGAUUUUGGAAUGGCAAGGAUUUUUGGUGGAAAGCAAAGUGAGGCUAAUACAAAUACAGUCGUAGGAACCUA
rnacentral:misc_RNA from 1 species